GUAAGUAAUAAUAAAGCGAUUAAUAAGCUACCUAUUGCAUGUUUAAUUCGCAAAAACGUAAAAUAUCUUUAAAAAGUUUACGACUUUGGUCGGCAAACAAGUCGCAGUCAGGUGCAAAAGAUAAAAGAUUAUUAAGGAGUGUCCGGGAACGGACAAUUGGAGAGUACUGGUGUGCAGUCGUGUGAAAGGUUCCAUUAUCUAGGAGGCGAUGGCCACGACAACGUAGGUAGUUGUCGGGAACAAACAAGGUAGUCGUUUUCGCCACCAAGUCUAAGCAGUCUGACUCUCCCCUUAAUAUUUUAGAUAUAGCAGACAUUAGAUUAACAUUACGCCUUAUCUCGAGGGAGUUAAAGCGUAGCAUACCGAGUAAAAAUUUGGUUGGGUAUAAAAAGGGGUAAUACCCGUAAGUUUUUUUAUACAAGAAGCGGAGAAAAGCUUUCUGUACCUUUUCUAAAAGCAAGGUGUAGGAUUUUUCAUGCGGGUUCCAGAUUAAAGAGCCCGAUUCAAUUUUAGUUCUAACUAAUGUAAUGUAUAAUAGCUGAACUACUUUGGGAUCAUUAAAGUUUUUUGAAUUACGGAUGAUGAAGCCCAGUUUUUUAUAACAAUCUUUAGCGAGAGAUGUUAUAUGCUCGUUAAAAGUAAGUUUAGAGUCAAACAUUAUGCCAAGAUCUUUAACUGUGUUAACCCGAGUGAGUGGAAUAUGGUCUAGCAAAUAAUCAUUAUGAAAUGGAGAGUGAGCACGGCUAAAAGUCAUUACGCUGCACUUAGAUAGAUUAAAGAGUAAUUUGUUUUUCUUACUCCAGUGGAGCAGUGCAUCAAUAUCUUGCUGUAGUAGGUCACAGUCGGUGGAUAAAAAUUUGGUUGGGUAUAAAAAGGGGUAAUACCCGUAAGUUUUUUUAUACAAGAAGCGGAGAAAAGCUUUCUGUACCUUUUCUAAAAGCAAGGUGUAGGAUUUUUCAUGCGGGUUCCAGAUUAAAGAGCCCGAUUCAAUUUUAGUUCUAACUAAUGUAAUGUAUAAUAGCUGAACUACUUUGGGAUCAUUAAAGUUUUUUGAAUUACGGAUGAUGAAGCCCAGUUUUUUAUAACAAUCUUUAGCGAGAGAUGUUAUAUGCUCGUUAAAAGUAAGUUUAGAGUCAAACAUUAUGCCAAGAUCUUUAACUGUGUUAACC